CUGCUGCGGACAAAUAAAAUGAACAUGUGUAUCAACGCCACCGGCGGUAAUUAUUUGCCCUUCACCUGCAAUAACUUCAGUAUUAGGACCAAUAACAAUAUCAAUAUUCGCCUGAAUAUCCGGAUUACCUGAUUUUCCUAUACCGACAAUUCGACCGUCUUUAAUACCAAUAUCAGCUUUAACAAUUCCCCAGUGAUCAAUAAUAACCACAUUGAUAAUGACAACAUCAACACAAUGCUCACUAGUGAGUUGACUCUGCCCCAUGCCAUCAC
rnacentral:sRNA from 1 species